AACCGGGGAGGGUCAUUGGAAACUGGGGAACUUGAGUGCAGAAGAGGAGAGUGGAAUUCCACGUGUAGCGGUGAAAUGCGUAGAGAUGUGGANGGAACACCAGUGGCGAAGGCGACUCUCUGGUCUGUAACUGACGCUGAGGAGCGAAAGCGUGGGGAGCGAACAGGAUUAGAUACCCUGGUAGUCCACGCCGUAAACGAUGAGUGCUAAGUGUUAGGGGGUUUCCGCCCCUUAGUGCUGCAGCUAACGCAUUAAGCACUCCGCCUGGGGAGUACGGUCGCAAGACUGAAACUCAAAGGAAUUGACGGGGGCCCGCACAAGCGGUGGAGCAUGUGGUUUAAUUCGAAGCAACGCGAAGAACCUUACCAGGUCUUGACAUCCUCUGACAAUCCUAGAGAUAGGACGUCCCCUUCGGGGGCAGAGUGACAGGUGGUGCAUGGUUGUCGUCAGCUCGUGUCGUGANGAUGUUGGGUUNAAGUCCCGCAANCGAGCGCAACCCUUGAUCUUANGUUGCCAGCAUUCAGUUGGGCACUCUAAGGUGACUGCCGGUGACAAACCNGGAGGAAGGUGGGGNAUGACGUCAAAUCAUCAUGCCCCUUAUGACCUGGGNCUACACACGUGCUNACAAUGGNACAGAANCAAAGGGCAGCGAAANCCGCGAGGUUAAGCCAAUCCCACAAAUCUGNUUCUCAGUUNCGGAUCNGCAGUCUGCAACUCGACAAUACGUUCCCGGGCCUUGUACACACCGCCCGUCACACCACGAGAGUUUGUAACACCCGAAGUCGGUGAGGUAACCUUUUAGAGCCAGCCGCCGAAGUGGGACAGAUGAUUGGGGUGAAGUCGUACAAAGGUAAACAAAU
rnacentral:rRNA from 1 species